rnacentral:rRNA from 1 species
AUGACAGUCCUUAAUAAAAGCUUUGAUGGCCUACCAUACUAUCUUAAGCCUUGUUUCUUGUAUAUGUCGAUCUUUCCAAAAGAUCGCGAGGUCAGUCGGCGCCGUUUGGUGCGUCGGUGGAUUGCAGAGGGUUAUUCAAGGGAGGUGCGUGGCAGGUCUGCAGAUGAAAUAGCAGAGGGCGACUUCAUGGAACUCAUAAGCAGGAGCAUGCUCCGACCAUCUCAACAAUCAAUUCAUGGUAGAAAAGGAGUUGAUGCAUGCCAGGUCCAUGAUCUAAUCCGUGAAAUCAGCAUCAAGAAGUCAACUGAAGAAGAUUUUGUUUUCACACUGGAGGAAGACAAGAUGAGUUUGCUACGAGUGCUGGACCUAGAAGGCACACCAGGCCUAGCUGAUCACCACCUUCAGCACAUUGGGAAGCUUCUUCACCUAAAAUAUUUUUCCAUAAGAGGAUGUGAUGAUAUUCAUCACCUGCCACACUCCUUGGGUAACCUGAGGCAACUCCAGACACUAGAUGUCAGGGAUACGAGAAUACUAAAGCUGCCAAAGACCAUCAUCAAACUUCGGAUGUUAACCUAUCUCCGCCUUGGUAGGAAAUCGACUGACAAAAAGGUGUCAUAUGAGAAACUUGAAGAGAAGCUCUCAAAUUCAAUGGGCAACAACAGGCUAUGUCUAUUGACUUCAGGGUCAGUGAUGCUUUGUGCAGCUUGUUGUGCACCCCGUCGUUUUGGUUAUUCUGAAGACAAGAAUUGCCAUGACAUAUGUACUGCUGCUUGCUGUGCUAGACUCCCUGCUGUUGCCAAGCGUCUGGACAGUCAUUCAGGACAUAAAAAACUGACCUGGUUGCGCAAGUUAGCAGUAACUGGCAUCAACGGGAGAAAUGGUGAAAAAUUCUGUUCAGCAAUCAAUAAUCUCAACCGUCUUGAGUCAUUGUCAAUACAGUCAGAGGGAGAUCCUGGAUUGUGUGAAUGUUUGCACUGGAUGACCUCGCCCCCGGAAAACCUCCAGAGCCUCAAGCUGUACGAUAAUCGGAUCAAACUGCCAAGAUGGGUCCAGAGGCUCCAGCAUCUUGUGAAGCUGAAUUUACGAAGCACCAGGCUAUCAGGGCAUGAUGGUGAUGUGGAAGUUCUUGGGAGGAUGCCAAAUCUGGCCAUCCUGCAUUUGCUGGAGAAGUCGUUUCAGGGUGAAGAGCUUCAUUUCCAGAUUGGGAUUUUCAGAAGCCUCACAGUUCUUGUGCUUAGAAACUUUGGGGACAUCAAAUUGGUGAAGUUUGACCAAGGAGCAAUGCCUAAGCUUGAGCAACUGCAGGUCAGGAAUGACUGGAGGGUAAGUGCUGAAACUGGUUGUUCUGCGAAUGAAGUUGCAUUUUCAAGUCUAGACUUUCUCCCAAGCAUCAAGGAAGCCCGAUUAUGGCUAAACAUUAUCCCGGAUGAACAACUCAAGGAAAUACCAGAUGAAGUAUUCCUCAAGGCCAGCAACUUUGAGGAACACUUUCGGACCCAGCUUGCCAACAAUCCAAGGAACCCCAUUCUGAAGGUGGGCGAGCUCGAGAACGAGGACUAA